UACGUAGGGUGCAAGCGUUGUCCGGAAUUAUUGGGCGUAAAGAGCUCGUAGGCGGUUUGUCGCGUCUGCUGUGAAAACUCGGGGCUUAACUCCGGGCCUGCAGUGGGUACGGGCAGACUAGAGUGCGGUAGGGGAGACUGGAAUUCCUGGUGUAGCGGUGAAAUGCGCAGAUAUCAGGAGGAACACCUAUUGCGAAGGCAGCUCGCUGGGACGUAACUGACGCUGAGACGCGAAAGCGUGGGGAGCAAACAGG
rnacentral:rRNA from 1 species